rnacentral:rRNA from 1 species
GAUGAACGCUGGCGGCGUGCCUAAUACAUGCAAGUCGAGCGAACGGACGAGAAGCUUGCUUCUCUGAUGUUAGCGGCGGACGGGUGAGUAACACGUGGAUAACCUACCUAUAAGACUGGGAUAACUUCGGGAAACCGGAGCUAAUACCGGAUAAUAUUUUGAACCGCAUGGUUCAAAAGUGAAAGACGGUCUUGCUGUCACUUAUAGAUGGAUCCGCGCUGCAUUAGCUAGUUGGUAAGGUAACGGCUUACCAAGGCAACGAUGCAUAGCCGACCUGAGAGGGUGAUAGGCCACACUGGAACUGAGACACGGUCCAGACUCCAACGGGAGGCAGCAGUAGGGAAUCUUCCGCAAUGGGCGAAAGCCUGACGGAGCAACGCCGCGUGAGUGAUGAAGGUCUUCGGAUCGUAAAACUCUGUUAUUAGGGAAGAACAUAUGUGUAAGUAACUGUGCACAUCUUGACGGUACCUAAUCAGAAAGCCACGGCUAACUACGUG